AUGUCCAUUCAGUUGCCAAAAUUAACUAGAUUUGGCCAUAGGAUAUCCAUAGAGACAUUUCGCAUCAUGAAGCUGGGCCUGUUCUUGUGUUUUGUUGGCUGUUUGGGAUUAGGCUGGGCAGUUCCAGUGGAAAACCUCGAAAAAAUCAAACUGGACUUCUUUCCUAACAACAGCAUGCUUUUGACAAGCUUCAUGAGUACCUACUUCAUUGUGAACGUUCCAAAAUGUGUUAGUCCCAAAGAUUUUUCUCCUGUCAAAAUCAGAUUAGCAGUGGCUCAAGUUCCAGACACAAGCACUUUACCAGGUGUGAUAGAUACCGAUGACAUUGCAAAUCUCCGCAGAACACCACAAGCGACUAUAUAUUUUGCUGGUGAAUUUGAUAGUGUCUCCUGUAGAGUAACCAGAGAUCUUCUUGUAAUGGACAUGGAUGACAGCCAAUUUGAGCUGAUCACAGUUUUAGGCUACCAGGUGGGAGCAGAAUUUUGCCGUCAAACUAAAGGCCCCUACUGCAAUCAAGCCCUAAAGCCCUCCACAUAUUAUAGGGUGAAUUUCUUUUUUCUGGAUAACAAAUCUGUAAUAAGAGCUCAUACGGAUUGGUCAACAGCACUACAAACGAGAAACGUGUCAGAUCAUGAAUCUGCUGACGUGAUGUUCGGAGGACGAGCUGGAGGAAUGAUCGUAAUCACCAUUCUGGUUUCAGUUGGUGGGGCUGUCCUAGCAAUUGCCUUAAUUGUAGCAGUAGCUCUUUCAAAUAAAAAAUAA
rnacentral:lncRNA from 1 species